GAUGAACGCUGGCGGCGUGCUUAACACAUGCAAGUCGAACGAAGCAUUUGCAACAGAUUUUUUCGGAAUGAAGUUGCUUAUGACUGAGUGGCGGACGGGUGAUUAACGCGUGGGUAAGCUGCCUUGUACUGGGGGAGAGCAGCUGGAGACAGGUGGUAAUACCGCAUAAGCGCACAAUGUUGCAUGAGAUGGUGGGGAAAAGUCCGGCGGUAUAAGAUGGAGCCGCGUCGGAUUAGCUAGUUGGUGAGAUAACAGCCCACCAAGGCGACGAUCAGUAGCCGACCGGAGAGCGUGCCCGGCCACAUUGGGACUGCGACACGGCCCCGACUCCUACGGGAGGCAGCAGUGGGGAAUAUUGCACAAUGAAGGAUACUCUGAUGCAGCGACGCCGCGUGAGUGGAGAAGUGAUUCGUAAUGUAAAGCUCUAUCAGCAGGGAAGAUAGUGACGGUACCUGAUUAAGAAGCACCGGCUAACUACGUG
rnacentral:rRNA from 1 species